UUGACCUCAAAUCGGGUGAGACUACCCGCUGAACUUAAGCAUAUCAUA
rnacentral:rRNA from 23 species